UACGUAGGGGGCAAGCGUUAUCCGGAUUUACUGGGUGUAAAGGGAGCGCAGACGGACAGACAAGUCAGAUGUGGAAGCCCCGGGCAUAACUCGGGGAGUGCAUUUGAAACUGUAGGUCUAGAGUACUGGAGAGGUAAGCGGAAUUCCUGGUGUAGCGGUGUAAUGCGUAGAUAUCAGGAAGAACACCGGUGGCGAAGGCGGCUUACUGGACAGCAACUGACGUUGAGGCUCGAAAGCGUGGGGAGCAAAC
rnacentral:rRNA from 1 species